UCCCUGUAGCUGAGAUGGUGAAGAAUCUGCCUACAAUGCAGGAGACCUGGGUUUGAUCCCCAGGCGGGGAA
rnacentral:tRNA from 1 species